UACGGGGGGGGCAAGCGUUGUUCGGAAUUACUGGGCGUAAAGGGCGCGUAGGCGGCCACUGCAAGUCAGUUGUGAAAUCUCCGGGCUUAACCCGGAAAGGUCAGCUGAUACUGCAGGGCUAGAGUGCAGAAGGGGCAACUGGAAUUCUCGGUGUAGCGGUGAAAUGCGUAGAUAUCGAGAGGAACACCUGCGGCGAAGGCGGGUUGCUGGGCUGACACUGACGCUGAGGCGCGAAAGCUAGGGGAGCGAACGGG
rnacentral:rRNA from 1 species